rnacentral:rRNA from 1 species
AACGAACGCUGGCGGCAGGCCUAACACAUGCAAGUCGAACGCUCCAGCAAUGGAGAGUGGCAGACGGGUGAGUAACACGUGGGAACCUUCCCUACGGUCGGGAAUAGCCCAGGGAAACUUGGGGUAAUACCGGAUACGCCCUUCGGGGGAAAGAUUUAUCGCCGUUGGAUGGGCCCGCGUCGGAUUAGCUAGCUGGUGGGGUAAUGGCCUACCAAGGCGACGAUCCGUAGCUGGUCUGAGAGGAUGAUCAGCCACACUGGGACUGAGACACGGCCCAGACUCCUACGGGAGGCAGCAGUGGGGAAUAUUGGACAAUGGGCACAAGCCUGAUCCAGCCAUGCCGCGUGAGUGACGAAGGCCUUAGGGUUGUAAAGCUCUUUUGGCGGGGAAGAUAAUGACGGUACCCGCAGAAUAAGUCCCGGCUAACUCCGUGCCAGCCGCCGCAGUAACAC